rnacentral:rRNA from 1 species
UACGUAGGGUCCGAGCGUUUGUCCGGAAUUAUUGGGCGUAAAGGGCUCGUAGGCGGUCUGUCACGUCGGGAGUGAAAACACGGGGCUUAACCCCGUGCCUGCUUCCGAUACGGGCAGACUAGAGGUAUGCAGGGGAGAACGGAAUUCCUGGUGUAGCGGUGAAAUGCGCAGAUAUCAGGAGGAACACCGGUGGCGAAGGCGGUUCUCUGGGCAUUACCUGACGCUGAGGAGCGAAAGUGUGGGGAGCGAACAGG